rnacentral:rRNA from 1 species
GACGAACCGUGCGAACGUUAUUCGGAAUCACUGGGCUUAAAGCGCGUGUAGGCGGAUCGGCGCAUCGAUGGCUGAAAGCCCCCGGCUCAACCGGGGAAGGGGCGUCGAGAUGGCCGGUCUCGAGGGGGGUAGGGGGACCUGGAACUUCCGGUGGAGCGGUGAAAUGCGUUGAGAUCGGAAGGAACGCCCGUGGCGAAAGCGAGGUCCUGGACCCUUUCUGACGCUGAGACGCGAAAGCCAGGGGAGCAAACGGG